rfam:Pan troglodytes isolate Yerkes chimp pedigree #C0471 (Clint) chromosome X, whole genome shotgun sequence.
GCAGGGCAUAGUGGUGUGCGCCUGUAAUCCCAGCUACUCGGGGGCUGAGGUGGGAGGAUUGCUUGAGCCUGGGAGGUUGAGGCUGCAGUGAGUCCUGACCACAUCACUGCACACCAGCCUGGGCAACAGAGCAAGACCCUAUCUCAA